rnacentral:rRNA from 1 species
GACGAACGCUGGCGGCGUGCUUAACACAUGCAAGUCGAACGGAAAGGCCCUGCUUUUGUGGGGUGCUCGAGUGGCGAACGGGUGAGUAACACGUGAGUAACCUGCCCUUGACUUUGGGAUAGCUUCAGGAAACUGGGGCUAAUACCGGAUAGGAGCUCCUGCUGCAUGGUGGGGGUUGGAAAGUUUCGGCGGUUGGGGAUGGACUCGCGGCUUAUCAGCUUGUUGGUGGGGUAGUGGCUUACCAAGGCUUUGACGGGUAGCCGGCCUGAGAGGGUGACCGGCAACAUUGGGACUGAGAUACGGCCCAGACUCCUACGGGAGGCAGCAGGGGGGAAUAUUGCACAAUGGGCGGAAGCCUGAUGCAGCAACGCCGCGUGCGGGAUGACGGCCUUCGGGUUGUAAACCGCUUUCGCCUGUGACGAAGCGUGAGUGACGGUAAUGGGUAAAGAAGCACCGGCUAACUACGUG